rnacentral:rRNA from 1 species
UACAGAGGUGGCAAGCGUUGUUCGGAAUUACUGGGCGUAAAGGGCGCGUAGGUGGCCUUCUUAGUCAGACGUGAAAUCCCCAGGCUUAACCUGGGAACUGCGUCUGAUACUGGAAGGCUCGAGUUCGGGAGAGGAAUGUGGAAUUCCAGGUGUAGCGGUGAAAUGCGUAGAUAUUGGGAAGAACACCAGUGGCGAAAGCGCUCUACUGGGCCAUAACUGACACUGAGGGACGAAAGCUAGGGGAGCGAAAGGG